rnacentral:rRNA from 1 species
GAUGAACGCUAGCUACAGGCUUAACACAUGCAAGUCGAACGGUAACGGGUUGAAAGCUUGCUUUCAAUGCUGACGAGUGGCGGACGGGUGAGUAAGGCUUGGGGAUCUGGCUUUUGGAGGGGGAUAACCAUUGGAAACGAUGGCUAAUACCGCAUAGUAUCGAGAGAUGAAAGGGGUGGGAAACCACUUGCCAAGGGAUGAACCCAAGUGAGAUUAGGUAGUUGGUGGGGUAAGGGCCUACCAAGCCGACGAUCUCUAGCUGGUCGGAGAGGAAGGUCCCCCACAUUGGAACUGAGACACGGUCCAAACUCCUACGGGAGGCAGCAGUGAGGAAUAUUGGUCAAUGGGCGAGAGCCUGAACCAGCCAAGUAGCGUGCAGGAUGACGGCCCUAUGGGUUGUAAACUGCUUUUGUAUGGGGAUAAAGUGCUCCACGUGUGGAGUUUUGUAGGUACCAUACGAAUAAGGACCGGCUAAUUCCGUGCCAGCAGCCGCGGUAAUACGGAAGGUUCGGGCGUUAUCCGGAUUUAUUGGGUUUAAAGGGAGCGUAGGCCGUGGAUUAAGUGUGUUGUGAAAUGUAGGCGCUCAACGUCUGACUUGCAGCGCAUACUGGUCCACUUGAGUGCGCGCAACGCGGGCGGAAUUUGUCGUGUAGCGGUGAAAUGCUUAGAUAUGACGAAGAACCCCGAUUGCGAAGGCAGCUCGCGGGAGCGCAACUGACGCUGAAGCUCGAAAGUGCGGGUAUCGAACAGG